GCACCACUGCGUCCCGUCCACCACCAACCAACCACUCACUGACUCCCACUCACCUGUCCACUGAGCGCGGCGCUCCCAGACAGAGCGCAGGACGUGUCCUCCCGGCUCCUGCCCUCCUCGUCCUGACCGCAGGUCGCCGUGGCGCUGGCACUGGCACGCUCGGCCACGUUGAAGUAGGGAGGCAGCAGGCUCGGCUCAUUGCCCGCGGCCCGGGCGGAAGGGAGAGCAGGUAGCAGCAGCAGCAGUAGCAUCGAGACCAGGUGAGCGAGCGGUGGAGGCGGGGACAGGUUGGGGUGUGUGGGAGAGGCGAGCGGAUGGUCUGGGGGCACACCCUGUGUCUGCCUUCCUUCUGGCUUGUGAAUUGAAGAUGACUCAAGUUGACUCAAUCUGUAACAUCACAACAAAUCAAUGUAAGUCCGUGACUGAUGCGCUCAAUGCAGUCCUGUAAACAGUCCGUAAGCAGUACGGUAUAACAAUCAUGCCCCGGUAUAAAUACCAGUCUAAAAAUGUGUCGUGCCUACUAUUGUGUUAUAUAACAAACACAUCAACUCAACUCGUACUCAAUAGCACAUCAUGCGCGAAAAAUACGGGCCACUGCCCGAACCGUGGCCUGUCGUGGACAUUUCCUCUUUAAAGCCACGGUGGUAUUGACAUUCCGAAUGCGUUGGGGUUGUUAAUAUGUUUUGUUAUUUGUCCUUGUGUGUGAAACCACUAACCAACGCAGCAAAGCCAGCAUCGCCGAAUAAAUCACAAACACACACAAAGUUAUAUGUAAUAAUAAAAAAACAUUGCGUUCCACUACUCGGUGUGUUCGCUAGACGGCGCUGUGAGCCCCAACACUGAAAACUAAAUCAACGGAUGGUCACUCCCCCGAAACGCCUGGUGUGGGUUUCGUGUUCAGGUUGGUGGGUCACUGGGAGAGUAGCCAGUACCAGUGGCUGGGUUGCCAGUCAGAGCCAGUCGGAGGGUGAGUACUGGGCAAUGGUUAGCUUAUUGGUCAGGGUUGAUGUGUGUGUGUGGCUGGUGUGGGUAAGGCUAUGGCUUGUACCACUGGCUGGGUUAGCUGGUCAGAGCCAGUGGGAGGGCGAGUACUGGGCAUUGGUUAGCUUAUUGGUCAGGGUUGAUGUGUGUGUGUGGCUGGUGUGGGUAAGGCUAUGGCUUGUACCACUGGCUGGGUUAGCUGGUCAGAGCCAGUGGGAGGGCGAGUACUGGGCAUUGGUUAGCUUAUUGGUUAGGGCAGAUGUGUGUGUGUGUAGCUGGUGUGGGUGAGGCUAUGGCUUGUACCAGUGGCUGGGUUAGCUGGUCAGAGCCAGUGGGAGGGCGAGUACUUGGCAUUGGUUAGCUUAUUGGUUAGGGUUAAUGUGUGUGUGUGUGGCUGGUGUGGGUAAGGCUAUGGCUUGUACCAGUGGCUGGGUUGGCUAGUCAGAGCCAGUGGAAGGGCGAGUACUGGGCAAUGGUUAGCUUAUUGGUUAGGGCUGAUGUGUGUUGCUGGUGUGGGUAAGGCUAUGGCUCGUACAGGGGUCUUUCAAGACUGCAGUGCGGCUCUUGAAAUUCGAAAAAAAUGGCUCUUCGUGUUAUUUUGGUUUCCGACCCCUGUGCUGGUACCAUUGGCUGGUUUGCCGGCUCGAGCCAGUGGAAGAGCUCCUAAGUCAUUGUUUGGCGAGCUAGUUAACGUGUUGGGGUGGCUGAGGGUAGGUUUAGUUCUGGUUGGCUAUGUAGUUGAUGGUUGGUUAGGGGCCGUCCAUAAAUGACGUCACGCGAUUUUUGACGAUUUUUGACCGCCCCCCUUCCUUCGUCACACGGCGUCACAAAAAGUCAG